UACGUAGGGUGCGAGCGUUGUCCGGAAUUAUUGGGCGUAAAGGGCUCGUAGGCGGUUUGCCGCGUCGGGAGUGAAAACCAGGUGCUUAACACCUGGCUUGCUUUCGAUACGGGCAGACUAGAGGUAUGCAGGGGAGAACGGAAUUCCUGGUGUAGCGGUGAAAUGCGCAGAUAUCAGGAGGAACACCGGUGGCGAAGGCGGGUCUCUGGGCAACAACUGACGCUGAGGAGCGAAAGCGUGGGGAGCGAACAGG
rnacentral:rRNA from 1 species